GGGGGAGUCUCCUCUCCUUGUCAUCUCCGGCAUAGCUUCGCCGGAACGCAUCGCCGGCAUCAAUGUCCUGACGGGAUGUCUCCGUCCCCGUUCCGGUCCUUGGAGGUGGCGAAGAGGCGAAAGGCGAGAAUCAUGCGGGAUGAGCGGGUUUGGAGGAGAGAAGAUACGCAAUUCGCGAAGCAAUGAUGGCGUCAAGGUCCCUGAUGGAGAGGUUGGCAUUAGAUCUACCUGUAUUUCUCGGCGGCCGUGGUUUGGGGAGAGCAGAAACACGGUGUGCAAGAGCUGGUGGCGGCGCAGAGGCCCUCGCAAGAGCGGAUAUCGUCAGAUCUCAGCCUAUUCCGCAUCUCUCAUUGCUACGUUGAUUUCCGCGAAAUCUUUUGUGCCGAUCUCUGCUACAGAUUCAACGCCCAAGGCAUUGCUAAAGAUGAGAGGAUGCCGACAGAUCCGCCUGUGGACUUGCCUGCUUCCAUGGUUGCUUCCUCUUCCGCUAGACCUCCGCCUCGUC
rnacentral:lncRNA from 1 species